rnacentral:rRNA from 1 species
GACGAACGCUGGCGGCGCGCCUAACACAUGCAAGUCGAACGAGCGAGAGAGAGCUUGCUUUCUCGAGCGAGUGGCGAACGGGUGAGUAACGCGUGAGGAACCUGCCUCAAAGAGGGGAACAACAGUUGGAAACGACUGCUAAUACCGCAUAAGCCCACGGCUCGGCAUCGAGCAGGGGGAAAAGGAGCAAUCCGCUUUGAGAUGGCCUCGCGUCCGAUUAGCUAGUUGGUGAGGUAACGGCCCACCAAGGCGACGAUCGGUAGCCGGACUGAGAGGUUGAACGGCCACAUUGGGACUGAGACACGGCCCAGACUCCUACGGGAGGCAGCAGUGGGGAAUAUUGCACAAUGGGGGAAACCCUAAUGCAGCGACGCCGCGUGGAGGAAGAAGGUCUUCGGAUUGUAAACUCCUGUUGUUGGGGAAGAUAAUGACGGUACCCAACAAGGAAGUGACGGCUAACUACGUG